rnacentral:lncRNA from 1 species
GCUAUACAGAGAAACCCUGUCUCGGGGAAAAAAAAAAAGUUGUAGACCAUGUUGUUUAAGGAAUGAUGGUAAGAAAAAUCUAAACAUGUUCAGUGAAAGUGCAAAAGGUUCAAGGAAAGACUGGUUGAAUCUGAGAAUCAGAACCCACAGAUUCAGCCAAUGGCAUGAUAGGAUAAGGCCAUCCUCUCCCAUAGAAACCUACCAAGCUAGAAAAGAACCAAGUAUACUGGGCUUCUACCACUUGGAGGGCUGAUGACCCCACUAACUAACAUUAAUUAACUCCAGUGAGCUUCAGCUACUUCAGCCACAUGAAAUGAUGAGAUGUAUUCCUAUGGUCCUUGCAAUGGCUUGGUGACGUAUAUAGGCUGUGGAUUAUUGAGCUAGCACUCCUAAGUGACAGACACCAUUGCUUCCCUCCCCUCCCCUUCAUGGGGCAGGGUAGAUUUCAGAAUAGUCCUGAGACUUUCUUUAUCCCUCAGCGACACCACCUCAUCCUGUUAAUAUACUGAGUUGUGGGUGAAAUUUCUUACCCUGUGAUCCUUAAGAGAAUUUAAGAACCAUUCUUCCUGUCUUUUAAAUUUUCCCCUAUCGGUCAACCACUGAGUACAAAGGACAACCUUACGCUUCUGCCUAGCCUCUGUGAUGUCCAUUAUGGCGACAUUUUACUCAGGAAAUUCUCCAGGAAGUUACUUCACCUUUCUCGUUUCUUUCCAAGUCUUUAAAAGUGCUCUCCUAGCUGUGUUGACUAUGUGCAUCGUUUUUGCCUGGCUGUGUUUUUCUGCUUUAAAAACAAUAUUUUAUGGCAUAGCUCAGACUGGCCUCAAACUUGAGACCCUCUUGCCUUGGCCUUUGGAAUCCUGGAAUCACAUCUGUAUGUCUACACAACCAAUUCUGUUCCUAUUUUAAGUAACAGGAUAUGCACCAAUCCAUGUGCUGAUGAAAGACUUUCCUGAAGCAUUCAGACUCUGCUGGCCCUGUUGGAGAAUCACUCUAAUGAUAACAGCAGUAGUAACAUCAUCUAUACAGGAGAUUUGCCAUGGGCCAUAGUCUCUUAUUAAACCUUAAGAGCUCGAAGGCAUCAAUACUUUGCAGGCUCUGGUUUUGUAUGGCACAAAGGGCUUAUGCACUUUGCUUAAAGGUCGUGAAACCAAGGGUAGAGUUAAGAUUCAAACUUGUUCAGUUCAGACACAGACCCUAAGUGUAGCUGAGCCCACAUCACAGUUUCCACUCCUGCAGAUGCAACCUAACUGCAAACUGGGAAGAAAAGUAUAUCAGAGUUGUAUAUAAAUGGCCUCUUUUUUUCUCUUUCUUCCUUCCUUCCUUCCUUCCUUCCUUCCUUCCUUCCUUCCUUCCUUUCUUUCUUUCUUUCUCUCUCUCUUUCUUUCUUUCUCUCUCUUUCUCUCUUUCUUUCCUUCUUUCUUUCUUUGUUAUUACUUCCUAAUACCAAGCAGCAACUACCAAUACAGCAUUCACAUUAACACUGUCUUAGGUAUAAGCCAUAUAGAUGUGAUAUAGGAUAUUCAUGAGGAUUCUGUAGGCUACAUAUAAAUACUGCACUGCACCAUUUCAUAUACACCCUUGAGCAGUUGAACUGUGUUGGUGUCUGAGGCAGGUCCUAAAACCAAACCUUGGUAGAUGUUAAGGAUGAAUGACUUUAUUGUCCCAGACUGCCCAGAUGUCUUAGUCCCAACAGGCAUACUGAAGGGCCUCAUACUCCAUGUGACAAGUGACAUAUUCUAUAACUCUGACCUCUUCCCCUUCUCUGGAGACCUUUAUCUCUGUAGUUACCUUCUGCCUCAGCAAUGCCCAGUCAACAACCCCCCUCCCCACUUUCUCCCCCAGCAGACUUCCUCAAUCCCCUAAUCUCACUUCUUGACUUUAGCCAUGACUCCAGGGUACCUGGGGACUCAUGGGUCUCCUGAGAUGAGCUUCAAUGCACAAACGUUUAUGGCCAUUCCUGAGCAAACUGGGAUAGCUAUUCAGCCUAAUGGCGAGCAGGUCUGCUGAGCCUGUCCAGAGCCUGAAGUCAGACUCCUGGCUCUCCUGAUAUCUGCCUCUGCUACUCUGGCCAUAUUACUUAGUUUCUCCAUGCCUCUACUUUUUCAUGUGUAGAAUGGGAGUACUAAUAGUACCUACCCCAGAGUUCACUGUAACCACUGACUGACCUUGUUUGUGAGAAGCGCCUGGGAUUGUUGCUCUCAAAAUUUGGUAUCAUAGUCAUGGUAUAGAACACUUCCUAAAAUCUAGAAAUUCAGUCCUGGGGUAGCUUCUUUGCCUGGCCCUUUUAACAUCUCUAAGAACCAGACAUUUCAUAUUUUCUUACAUUUCUUGAAAUUGUGCUGGAUACAGUUACAAAAAUGGCAAUUGAUUGUUGGCCUGAUUUUACAUUCGUUUAAAGAGAGCCAUCAGCCCUCCAGGAGUAAGAAGUCCGUGCCUGCAGGCCUCCUAGGUGUUAUUUGUAUUUUUAUGACCCUCCUGUGGCUAUCAGGAGACUCAGUGGGUGUAGAAUUGGAUGGUUAAAAAUAACAAAUAAGAAAUCAAAGGCAUGCCUGCCCCUAUUUCCAUACCGGUAGGUACCACAUUCAUUAUUUGCUGGACAGCCGUGGGAAUGAGCGGCAUAAGUUAAAACAACUUGAUCAUCCUCAAAGAAAGAAAUUAAACCUCUGGGCUCUCUUCUCGUCGUCAUCCUGGUCUUUGUAUGACACUAGUCACCCUCUUAAUCUACCUACGUGCCUCCUCUUCCACCUCUCCGGGUGCUCCAGUCUGUCUCUUUCAGUUGGGAACUAUCUGCAUCUUACAGGUUUUGAGUCUGAAAACUCCAUACUGGCACGCCAGAGACUGCCCCUGCCACAGCCUGGUUUUGGACCCUGUGUAGCAAGCAGCAGCUGCUUCUGCUGGGGAAAGGAUCUUCCUUCCAGCCCUCAGGGCAUGGCCAGCAGGAGGCUUUUCCUUUUACCUGGCUGCUGAAUCAAGGGCAUGAUAAAAACAGCAAAGAAACACAGCCUAGGUUUCUUUUUCUUUUCUUUUUUUCCCUAAGUUCAUCCAACAAAUAUCUUUAUGCUAACCACUGGGGUGAGCACUGGGAACCCAGCCAUAAACAACAGAGCCAAAGUCUCUCACUCCAGAGGCGUUGAUGAGCCCAGGAAGGAGGCCAUUAAACCACUGGUUCUUAGCGUUCAUUGUGUAGUGGAAUAUCCUAGAGAGUCAUAGAGAAGAAAAAAAAAAAAAGAAAGGGCUGGGAGUGUAGCUUAGUGGUGGAGGAUUAUUUAAUGUGAGCAAGGCCCUAGGUUCAAUUCCAAUACUAAAGGAAGAAAGAAAAAUAGGGGCAGGGGGGUGGCACAGAGGAUAAUUCUCAUGCUGCUCCACAUUUGGGGUUCAAGCAUGAGGACAAGAGUUCAAAUCCACAACAGUCACAUAAACGGCCUGCCUGCAAUCGCAGGGCUUGGGAGACAAAAGCAGAGAGCCUUUCCCUUGGAGCAAGCUACUUACCUAAACAAACAGAAUCAGUGAGUUGGAUUUAGUGAGCAACCAUGCCUCCAUAUACAAAGUGAGGGGUGAUCAGUGAGAAUACAUCACGCUUGUCUCUUGGCCUUCACGUGUGCAUCAAUACACACUUGCAUUCAUCAGCACAUACAUGAUGCUCCCUCGGACAUGUGAACUCCUGUCCACACAUCCAUAAACACUACAUGUAUGUAUGCAUGC